rnacentral:rRNA from 1 species
AUUGAACGCUGGCGGCAUGCUUUACACAUGCAAGUCGAACGGCAUCGCGGGCUUCGGCCUGGCGGCGAGUGGCGAACGGGUGAGUAAUGCAUCUGAACGUGCCCAGUAGUGGGGGAUAGCCCGGCGAAAGCCGGAUUAAUACCGCAUACGACCUGAGGGUGAAAGCGGGGGACCGAAAGGCCUCGCGCUAUUGGAGCGGCCGAUGUCGGAUGAGCUAGUUGGUGGGGUAAAGGCUUACCAAGGCGACGAUCCGUAGCUGGUCUGAGAGGACGACCAGCCAGACUGGGAGUGAGAAAGGGCCGAGACUCCGACGGGAGGCAGCAGUGGGGAAUUUUGGACAAUGGGGGCAACCGUGAUCCAGCCAUGCCGCGUGCGGGAAGAAGGACUUCGGGUGGGAAAACGAUGUUGUUCGGGAAGAAAUCCUAUGGGCUAAUACCCCGGGGGGAUGACGGUACCGGAAGAAGAAGCACCGGCUAACUACGUG